ACUCAAAUGAAUUGACGGGGGCCCGCACAAGCAGCGGAGCGUGUGGUUCAAUUCGAUGGUACGCGAAGAACCUUACCAGGGUUUGACAUGCUGGUGGUACCGAUCCGAAAGGUGAGGGACCCUUCGGGGAGCCAGUACAGGUGUUGCAUGGCUGUCGUCAGCUCGUGCCGUGAGGUGUUGGGUUAAGUCCCGCAACGAGCGCAACCCUCGUCGCUAGUUGGAUCUUUCUAGCGAGACUGCCGGGAGCAACCCGGAGGAAGGCGAGGAUGAUGUCAAGUCCGCAUGGCCCUUACGCCCUGGGCUACACACACGCUACAAUGGCCGGUACAACGGGUCGCUAAGGCGCGAGCCGGAGCUAAUCCCUAAAGCCGGCCCCAGUUCAGAUUGCAGGCUGCAACUCGCCUGCAUGAAGGAGGAGUUGCUAGUAACCGCCGGUCAGCAUACGGCGGUGAAUACGUUCCCGGGCCUUGUACACACCGCCCGU
rnacentral:rRNA from 1 species